ensembl:lncRNA
AGAACUUUCCCAAGAAUCAUUAAAAAGGAGGCUUUUUUCUCCUGGUCCUAAGCUGCAAAGCAGCCUGAGAGCAGAGUGGCUAGUCUGUGGAGAGCUUGCCUGAGAAGAAAGCUGGGGAGAGGCUCUCAGAGGAACAACUUCAAAUAAAAAGAUAUCCGAUUAGACUGCAGCAAGGAGAUCAAGUCAGUCCAUCUUAAAGGAAAUCAAACCUGAAUAUUUAUUGGAAGGACUGAUGCUGAAGCUGAAGCUCCAGUACUUUGGCCACCUGAUGCGAAGAGCCAACUCAUUGGAAAAGACUCUGAUGCAGAGAAAGAUUGAAGGUGAAAAGAGAAGAGGGCGGUAGCAGAUGAGACGGUUGGAUCGCACCACCAACUCAAUGGACAUGAAUUUGAGCAAACUCUGGGAGACCUAACCCUAACCCUAACUGAACAAUAACUGGGGUGGGGGGGAAUAAGAGUGGGGCAUGGGGAUCAAAGGGAAUGAAUGAAUGGAUGGAUGAAUGAAUGAAUGCAUAACACGGGACACUUGCAGACAAUAACGGGAAUGUGCCAUGAGCCACGGAGGAUGAGCACCUCCAGACUCAGCACCCCGAUUCAAAAAAUAAACACAACCCAAAGCAAAACCCACUCUGCCAGGCUCUGUUUUCUGGGAAGGGAGCAGAAAGUCUCAUUAGAUGAUAUUAAGAGAAAAAUUGUGACAAUUCUAUAAAACGGCCCCAUUAAAGAAAAAAAAUGUCAUGUAACUUUACAUAGAAAAGUCUGGAAGCAUCUGUGUCCGUGUGCUCACAGAGAGAGGCUAGGAGCAAGGACAAGUCUGUGCCAGUCAGCCUUGUCUAUGGCACACCCAGUCGGGCUGACCCACAGGAGGACUCCAGCACACUCACAUAUAUGUAUCUCCAUAACGUGAGAUACACACUUUUCUAUACACCUUGCAAUCAUCUGCAUGUUUUAGAAGAGCACAAAUGUUUUAUAAUCAAAGAGGAACACUAAAACACUUUCUAUCAGGAAGCGAAGAGUUUAGUAAGGAUGAACAGAGGGAUUCUGAGGCCAGGGAUUCCCAUCUCCCCUGGCAACAACUGAGCAGCUGUUUUCAGGGAUCCAUGAGUAUGUCUUUAGUGUCCAUUCAGAGUACAGCUCAAGGCAGAAGGCUCCAUGAGGAAAAGGGGAGUGGGAGGGGUCAUGAUUUGCAGUAGAGCCUGUGGCACCUGACUCCGGACUAGGGUGUGCUGCUGGGCAAGUUUUUGACCGUGCUGAGCCUCUGUUUCCACACCUGUAAAAUGGGCACAAUACCAGCCAUGGCAUCAGGAUUGAAUGAAAGAAUGCAUGAAUUGGUUUAGCACGAAGCCUAGCACAGAGCAGGUGCUCAGC